rnacentral:rRNA from 1 species
GACGAACGCUGGCGGCGUGCUUAACACAUGCAAGUCACGGGGGCCCAGCAAUGGGUAACCGGCGAGCGGGUGCGUAACACGUGAGCAACCUGCCGAUCUGAGGGGGAUAGCCGGCCCAACGGCCGGGUAAUACCGCAUACGUUCUUGAGAGGACAUCCUCUUGGGAAGAAACCUCCGGGGCAGAUCGAGGGGCUCGCGGCCUAUCAGCUAGUUGGUGUGGGUAACGGCCCACCAAGGCGACGACGGGUAGCUGGUCUGAGAGGAUGGCCAGCCACAUUGGGGACUGAGAGACGGCCCAGACUCCUACGGGAGGCAGCAGUGGGGAAUCUUGCGCAAUGGCCGGAAAGCUGACGCAGCGACGCCGCGUGUGGGAUGAAGCAUUUCGGUGUGU